UCCGCCAUAGCUCAGUUGGUAGUAGCGCAUGACUGUUAAUCAUGAUGUGUAGGUUCGAGUCCUACUGGCGGAG
rnacentral:tRNA from 1 species